rnacentral:rRNA from 1 species
CCUACGGGAGGCUGCAGUGAGGAAUAUUGGUCAAUGGACGAGAGUCUGAACCAGCCAAGUAGCGUGAAGGAUGACUGCCCUAUGGGUUGUAAACUUCUUUUAUAUGGGAAUAAAAUGUUCCACGUGUGGGAUUUUGUAUGUACCAUAUGAAUAAGGAUCGGCUAACUCCGUGCCAGCAGCCGCGGUAAUACGGAGGAUCCGAGCGUUAUCCGGAUUUAUUGGGUUUAAAGGGAGCGUAGGUGGAUUGUUAAGUCAGUUGUGAAAGUUUGCGGCUCAACCGUAAAAGUGCAGUUGAAACUGGCAGUCUUGAGUACAGUAGAGGUGGGCGGAAUUCGUGGUGUAGCGGUGAAAUGCUUAGAUAUCACGAAGAACUCCGAUUGCGAAGGCAGUUCACUGGACUGCAACUGACACUGAGGCUCGAAAGUGUGGGUAUCAAACAGGAUUAGAUACCCUUGUAGUC